CAGCAGCCGCGGUAAUACGUAGGGUGCGAGCGUUAAUCGGAAUUACUGGGCGUAAAGCGUGCGCAGGCGGUUGUGUAAGACAGGUGUGAAAUCCCCGGGCUUAACCUGGGAACUGCGCUUGUGACUGCACAGCUAGAGUAUGGCAGAAGGGGGUGGAAUUCCACGUGUAGCAGUGAAAUGCGUAGAGAUGUGGAGGAACACCGAUGGCGAAGGCAGCCCCCUGGGCCAAUACUGACGCUCAUGCACGAAAGCGUGGGGAGCAAACAGGAUUAGAUACCCGCGUAGUCCCUGUCUCUUAUAC
rnacentral:rRNA from 1 species